UACGAAGGGGGCUAGCGUUGUUCGGAAUUACUGGGCGUAAAGCGCACGUAGGCGGAUACUUAAGUCAGGGGUGAAAUCCCGGGGCUCAACCCCGGAACUGCCUUUGAUACUGGGUAUCUCGAGUCCGGAAGAGGUGAGUGGAAUUCCGAGUGUAGAGGUGAAAUUCGUAGAUAUUCGGAGGAACACCAGUGGCGAAGGCGGCUCACUGGUCCGGUACUGACGCUUAGGUGCGAAAGCGUGGGGAGCAAACAGG
rnacentral:rRNA from 1 species